GCAUGCAACAUCUACUGGCAUAAUAUAAAGAAAAAAUCAACAUACAGCACUUUAAAUAAGUUGAAAAACUAAAAAUAAUUUACAGAGUGUAGGAAUGGGGAGUACAUUGUUAGUUGAUCAUACUGUAUGAGCGCAUUGUGUAUAAAGAACCAAACAAUAUAAACAGUAAAAAACAAAAGAAAACUGAAUGGAGAGUGCGGAGCCAUUGUCGGUGAGACCUUCCCCUACAGCGCAUUGGAUGAAAGCAUACUUGUUGGCCGAUCAACUAUCUAGAACUCAGUUUCCAGAUCAAGAAAUGCCUUGAUGAUCAUGUAUAUGUUUUAUGCCAACAAUAGCUGAAUAUUUCAUCAAAUACGCCUGUGACAUGUAUAAUAAAUGCCAACAAGAUAUCAAAAACAAGCUGAAUGGAAUAAUGGUCAACAAGUAGAUUUUCUUCCUCCUUAUUCUUCCCCAGUUUAGGGGUCUUUGCAGUGCGACUUGCGCUAGACUAUGUUAAGUCUAUAGCGAGCAAUGGUCUAUUGACCGGAGAACCCCUUUGUUGCCAUAUCAGUUUCCAUAUCCUGGUUGGUUCUCUGCUUCUGUCACAGUACUCUCUCUGUGAAAACGUUUGGUUGAUGUCAGGUCAUUUGAUAAACAGCUAGCUUGGUCAGCACUUUCACCGUUCAUUAUCCUCCUCAUUAUCCUCUCCACAUUUUUCCUCAAUGGUUUAUUCAGCAAUUGAUUUCCAGUUCUUUGGUUCAAUGCCAAUCAGCAUUCUCCUCUUUCUCUGACAGUCAGAAUACAUUGCUACAAAUCAGUCAAUUCCUACUGCAGGUGCAUGCACAAUGACUCUCAUAAACCUGCAUUGUUGCAGAUAUUCAUGAAAAAAAGAUGUUGUAAUUGUUUGUGGAACACAUAUAAAAGUUGUAAAAUGUUGUUAUUAAAGCAGAAAAGGAAAUCAUUUGUAAAGGGUACAAGUAAGGCAAUUGUAUCAAAGUUGGUAGAACAAAGAAACCCUUAGCACAGCAAUAGGACAAAAUGAACGGAAUGUCAUUAGGAAAGGCUGCUCCUCCUCUCAAUGCACAGCUCUUUCCACGACAUGGAAUAUGCCGCGAACAUGACGACCUCGAAGGUGUCUGUCUCCGCACGCCAACUCUCUUGACCCUUUCCUUGUUUGAGCCUGCGUUUCGUUGGCGUGUGAACUGUGUCACACGCCAACGCGCGUGAGACCUGUUGGUGUACUCACCAUGUUGACACAAUGAUUGAACAGGACAGGUCGGCGGUUGUGGAUCCGUGUGUGUGACACUCUGCCCUCAUGGAUGUUGAAUGCUGUUCAAAGAAGACAUGCUAUAUCUGUUGUCUGGUUGUGUAAGUAUCUGCCUUCUAGCGUAUCCCCCCCACCCCUCUAUACAGAUGUACUGGUGUACUGGUCACUCUGGUUAUCAUCACCCUGCUAACGUUAUGCAGCAAGUUAUCUCAUUCCCCCAGCAACCCCACUUGAAGGCUUUCCUGUCGGCAAGGGGACUCGCCAGAGCAAGGGGACUGCCAGAGCAACGCCACAGGAUCUUCUUAUUCUCCUUUCCUAUGAAGGAGGAAGGGGUCCCAUCAGUGUGCGCAGGGAUGCCAUUAGUGUGCGCAGAAGGAACCAUGCUGUGAAGCCAUGUGCUUUCAACCCCCCAAAGCCGUUGGGUGGGUGCUAUCGUCAUCCAAUGGAGAUCGAGGAAGCAAGUGAGCUGCAAUCACUUGUCACCGUAGGGUGCAACUAUCUGCACCACAUGUGGUCUGUUUUGUGCGAGCACUGAGAGAGAGCAGUGGAGGAGGAGUAGGGGGGUGUCAUAUUGUGCGUCUGUGGCCUGUAAUGAAAAGUACAGUAUACAUCUAGA